rnacentral:tRNA from 1 species
UCUGGCGAUCUAGACAACAACAGUCCACCGUGGGCUUUGAAAAACGCUUUCCUUGAUAAAAUUUAAGCGUUUUAUAAGAGGAUGCCGGGGAAGGUUUUCCGGUUUAUCCCGGAGGGCUUGUAGCUCAGUUGGUUAGAGCGCGCGCUUGAUAAGCGUGAGGUCGGAGGUUCAAGUCCUCCCAGGCCCACCAGUUUAUCCAUUACUUUCAUAAGUGCUUUUAAAAAAUAAGUACUUCUAAAAAGAUUGCUUCUAAAAAGCUUAUCAAAAUUGGCAGGCUUAUUGCUUUUGUGUGAGUAAUCCAAAGUUAAAGCAAAUUAAUGGCAAAAAAACAGUUCAAAUGCUAAAUACUAAGGAGUCAAAAUUCCUUGCAAAGUGAUUUUUACAGCGUCCAUUUGGUUGAUAUAAAUUCCAAAUGCUCAUAGACGUCAAUGCCUAUAUGAAACUAUCGGUUCAAUCAUAUCGCUUUGAGUUAUAUAGAUUUUGUAAUCCCUCUUUUGAUCGUUUUAAACGCUUUAUCCUGAUUUAGGGGCCGUAGCUCAGCUGGGAGAGCACCUGCUUUGCAAGCAGGGGGUCGUCGGUUCGAUCCCGUCCGGCUCCACCAUAAGGUCAUCAUCAUUGUUGUAAGAACAGUUUUGUAAAAGGUUUGCGAACCUUUUGCUUGUUCUAUUGAAAUUGUGAAGAGAAGAUAUAUUCAGACAUGUUCCUUUUGAAAGGUUUGUUCUGGAAGGUGAGGUUUUUCUGUGCAGAAAUGUUUCAGAAAAAGCUUUGUCAUCAGAAAGGGCUAUUGUCUAACAGCUUAGAUAAAAAACAAAUCUGAAAAAGAAAUCUUGUGUCGCAAGGGAAAGCUCAAAGCCCUUGCUUAUGAUUGGA